CGAGCCGGCCGGACGGCCGCGGCGGGCCCGAAGAGGGUCCGUCGAGGAAGGUCCGGGCUCCACAGGGCAGGGUGGUCGGUAACACCGACCCGGGGUGACCCGCGGGAAAGUGCCACAGAAAGCAGACCGCCUUCCGCGCUUCGCGGGAGGUAAGGGUGAAAGGGUGGUGUAAGAGACCACCAGCGCUCGCGGUGACGCGGGCGGCUAGGUAAACCCCACCCGGAGCAAGGUCAAGAAGGAGCGGUCCGUGAGGACCGCUCCGCGCGCGGCGUUUGAGGGCGGCCCGUCCGAGCCGCGCGGGUAGACCGCUAGAGGCCGUCGGCAACGGCGGUCCCAGAUGGAUGGCCGUCGCCCCUUCGGGGGUACAGAACCCGGCCUACAGGCUGACUCGUCCG
rnacentral:RNase_P_RNA from 1 species